GGGGUAAAAUUAAUAAAAAUUAUAAAUAAUAAAAUAAAUUUUAAAAUUAAAAAUAAAUAAUGGGGGUUAAAGUAUUUUUAAUAGAAAAAAUUUAAAAAUUUAUAAAAAAUUAGUAUUGUAUAAGAAUUUUGAAAAAAUGAAAAAAAAAAUUAUAAAAAAAGAAAAUUUAAUUUAUUGUAUCUUGUGUAUCAGAGUUUAUUAAAUAAAUUUUUUAUAAAAAAAAAUUUCGAAUUUAAAAGAGUUAAUUAGUUAAAAAAGUUAAUGUAACAUAAUUAUUUUUAAUAAUUAAUUAGAAAUGAAAUGUUAAUCGUUUUUAAAUAUAUCUAGUUAUUUUAGAAAAAAAUUUAAUUUUGAAUUUAAAUAAUUUUUAAAUUUAAUAAUAUAAAUUUUGAAAAUUUAAAUUUAAUAUAUUGGGGGAUAAGCUUUAAAUUAAAAAUUUAUAAUAAAAUUAAUUUUUGUGAAAUUUUUAAAAUUUAUAUUGUUUAAAAAUUAUAAUUUAUUAUAAAAAAUUUCAAAAAUAAUAAAAUUUAAUAAAAAAAAAUUUAAAUUUAUAUAAAAUAAUAAUUUUUAAAAGAAAAAAAUUAGGAAUAAUGAUAAAAUUAAUAUAAAAUAUAUAAUAAUAUAUAAAUAUUUAUUUAAAAUUAAAUAAAAGGAAUUUGGCAAAUAUGUAUAUUCACUUGUUUAUCAAAAACAUGUCUUUUUGAAAAUAAUUUAAAGUCUAAUCUGCCCACUGAUGAAAAUUGAAGGGCUGCAGUAUUUUGACUGUACAAAGGUAGCAUAAUCAUUAGUUUUUUAAUUGAAAACUUGUAUGAAAGAUUUAAUGAAAUAUAAACUGUCUCAUAUUUAUUUUUAAAAUUUUAUUUUUUAGUUAAAAAGCUAAAAUAUUUUUAAAAGACGAGAAGACCCUAUAGAGUUUUAUAUUUAUUUUUAUUAAAAAAUUAUAUAAAAAUUAAAAAUUAAAAUAAAAUGGAAUAUUAUAUUGGGGUGAUAGAAAAAUUAAACUAACUUUUUUUAAAAAAUUAAUAUUAAUAAAUAAAUAAAUGAUCCAUAAAUAAUGAUUAAAAGAAAAAAUUACCUUAGGGAUAACAGCGUAAUAUUUUUUUUUAGUGCAAAUAAAAAAAAAAGUUUGCGACCUCGAUGUUGGAUUAAGAUAAAAUUUAAAUGCAAAAGUUUAAAAUUUUGAUCUGUUCGAUCAUUAAAAUCUUACAUGAUCUGAGUUCAAACCGGUGUAAGCCAGGUUGGUUUCUAUCUUUAAAUAUUAAUUAAAAUAUUUUA
rnacentral:rRNA from 1 species